GUUUUAGACAUUAUGCUAAUUAUCAUAGUAAUGGCACACUCUUUAGGAAUAUACCUGCUUUUAUUUGACGCACACUAUAGCCAUACGUUACCUGGAAACAUAACACAACGCAUAUCAUUAAUUCCUCAGCAUAAUGCCUCAUCCCACCUACUCAGGCUAUGUUUUACUACGCUCUGAAGUGUUUUAUGCUUUGGUCACACAUCAGUUUAAUACUAUCGCGCAACUGAGCUACUAUGUCGUAAAGUGCUGGGUUUCUUAAUUUAGCUGCAUGCCUCAUGUCUUGCUUAAAUAGCUGUUGUAACGAAAAGGGCCAUCCC